rnacentral:misc_RNA from 1 species
AAAUUGGUGCUGUUGUACGAGAGCAAGAGAAAAAAGCUGCCUGGAAAACUGCACAGUUACAGUACAUUCGUGAGUCUGAGGAGAAGAAACGCCAGCGAAAUUUGCAAGUGGAGAAGAUGAAGUCGGAGAUGCUCAACUUACAAAUACAGCUUCACAGUACAGAUGCAAUUUCUGCUGCCACUCGUGGUGAGACUUCUCCUCCUAGUGAGGGUUUAAAGAGGCGGAGGAAUUUUUCAGCUCCGAAUUUAGAGGAAAG